GAUGAACGCUAGCGGGAGGCCUAACACAUGCAAGCCGAGCGGUAUUGUCUCUUCGGAAAUGAGAGAGCGGCGUACGGGUGCGGAACACGUGUGCAACCUGCCUUUAUCUGGGGGAUAGCCUUUCGAAAGGAAGAUUAAUACUCCAUAAUAUAUUGAACGGCAUCGUUUAAUAUUGAAAGCUCCGGCGGAUAGAGAUGGGCACGCGCAAGAUUAGCUAGUUGGUGAGGUAACGGCUCACCAAGGCGAUGAUCUUUAGGGGGCCUGAGAGGGGGGUCCCCCACACUGGUACUGGGACACGGACCAGACUCCUACGGGAGGCAGCAGUGAGGAAUAUUGGUCAAUGGGUGCAAGCCUGAACCAGCCAUCCCGCGUGAAGGACGACUGCCCUAUGGGUUGUAAACUUCUUUUGUAUAGGGAUAAACCUACCCUCGAGAGGGUAGCUGAAGGUACUACACGAAUAAGCACCGGCUAACUCCGUGCCAGCAGCCGCGGUAA
rnacentral:rRNA from 1 species